CUACCUCUCCCCUAAAAAACCCUCAAACUUGAUUAGGUUUUCAGUUUCAACCAUCUACGGGUGCCGCAAAACCCAACAAGAAUAAUGAUUUCGUCUGGUACUCUCCUCAACACUAGCUUUCACCUGAAUCUAAUGAAUCGUUGAUUAAAGCAUCUCUAAAUUCAUACUCUUCAUCUCUUGAUGCGUAAUGAAGUCUUCUGAGCUCUACACUUCAUCUUCAAUUUCAUGGGGACAGAGACUCAACAAUUCUAGUUUGUAGUUUGUUAUCUAAUUGCGAUAUCAUAGUUGUUAUUUCGCUGAAGGGUAGUGCAGCUCAUGUUGAAGGUUGCAGCUGCAAGUUUUCAUAUUUGAUUCUAACAUGAUUCUUGGUUGCAAAAUCAACAAUUCUCAAAAUCAA